UCUUUAAAUCUUUGCGUAUUCACGCCGCGCUCUCAUUGGUCACUUCUACUCUGAGUCCCGCCCACCCGUUUACGUCAGAUGUGUCGUUCGCACUGAUCUGUAUAUUCUCUGUUAUAGGUCAGUGGUGCUAAGGGAAUAUGCUACAGUAACACUGCAAUAAUCGCGUUAUUGUUGACGGAGGACCGGUUUUAUUGUCGGUGUUUGUGCCGCGGGAGUCAUGUCAGAGACUCCGGACACGGACACCCUGGAGCUGGAGUCCGAAGAGAAGCAGGAUUCUCCAGAGAAGCACUGUAACCCAAUAUCAAACUGAAGGAGAAACAUCAAAACCUGGGACAAAACCCUGCGGCUCGGACUUUCUGAUGAAGAGACACCAGAAAGGAGUGAGUCAGAGGAAAAACACACCGCUGUGUUCCUGUGGCUCAGUGGUAGAGCAUUGUGUUAGCAGCGCAAAAGACUGUGGGUCCGAUUCCCAGGGAACACGUGUUAGG